GAUAAACGCUGGCGGCGCACAUAAGACAUGCAAGUCGAACGGACUUAACCAUUAGUUUACUAUUGGAGCGGUUAGUGGCGGACUGGUGAGUAACACGUAAGCAACCUGCCUAUCAGAGGGGAACAACAGUUAGAAAUGACUGCUAAUACCGCAUAUGCCAUAAUCACCACAUGGUGAUAGUGGGAAAGGAGCAAUCCGCUGAUAGAUGGGCUUGCGUCUGAUUAGAUAGUUGGUGGGGUGACGGCCUACCAAGUCGACGAUCAGUAGCCGGACUGAGAGGUUGAACGGCCACAUUGGGACUGAGAUACGGCCCAGACUCCUACGGGAGGCAGCAGUCGGGAAUAUUGCGCAAUGGAGGAAACUCUGACGCAGUGACGCCGCGUGCAGGAAGAAGGUUUUCGGAUUGUAAACUGCUUUAGACAGGGAAGAUAAAAGACAGUACCUGUAGAAUAAGCUCCGGCUAACUACGUGCCAGCAGCCGACGG
rnacentral:rRNA from 1 species